AUUGAACGCUGGCGGCAGGCCUAACACAUGCAAGUCGAGCGGAUGAAGGGAGCUUGCUCCUGGAUUCAGCGGCGGACGGGUGAGUAAUGCCUAGGAAUCUGCCUGGUAGUGGGGGAUAACGUCCGGAAACGGGCGCUAAUACCGCAUACGUCCUGAGGGAGAAAGUGGGGGAUCUUCGGACCUCACGCUAUCAGAUGAGCCUAGGUCGGAUUAGCUAGUUGGUGGGGUAAAGGCCUACCAAGGCGACGAUCCGUAACUGGUCUGAGAGGAUGAUCAGUCACAGGGGAAGAGAGACCGGGCAGAGACUCACGCGAGGGACAGGAGUGGAAAAUAGGAGACAGGGGGCAAUAUUGUGCUCCCGCAGGCGCGUGUGUGAAGAAAAGCUUUGGGGUGUAAAAAGCACUUUGUUUGGGGAAAAGGGGCAGAAUGUUAAUAUCUGUGUUUUUUGGUUAUCACAAGAGAAAAAACCGCGUAAAACUUC
rnacentral:rRNA from 1 species